CGGCAGCGUCAUCAGAGCGUCAUCAGAGCUCUCUGAUCUACGUGGUCUCAUUCGGUGGAUUCAGACAGCGCAUUUUCUACAUUGACCGACGAUAAAUAAAGUUAUAAGGUGCUUCUUGGGCAUCAACCCAGAGACGGGCACAAAAUCUAAGAGGCAGAGAGGUCACAUGAACCAGCAAGUCUGCACUCUUAUCAGGAAGCUCAUUGACUUUGAAUGGAUGUCAAUCUAAUUGGAUAGAACCCACACUAUGCAGGUGCCAGCUGCGAGGGAAGGAGAGAGACACCUGCGACCCUCUCUAUUCCCACCUUUUUGUCUUUUCUUACAUCUCUCUCCCUCACUCUCUCUUCUCUGUCUCCUUCUUUCUCUUUUGACACACAGUCCUGUUACCCAGUGUCAAUCCCUGUUGCCCAGUGUUUUAUUCAUGUAAUUAAAUUGUAUUUUACUUCAAAAAAAUAAAAGUUAUGUCACUGUUUUUAUCAGUUUUGUUUGGUCCAUCAUUUAUGCUAAAUCACAGUAAUACAUAGACAUUCACAGUUAUGUACAGUAAUUCUACAGCUGCUUACUGCUAAAUUACAGUAAUAGAUAGACUAAUUUCACAGUUAAAUACAUGAAUUCUACAGCUGCUUACUGUUAAAUUACAGUAAUACAUAGACACCAACUGUAAUUUCACAGUUAAAUACAUUAAUUCUACAGCAGCUUACCGCUAAAUCACAGUAAUGCAAUGUCAGAAUUACUGUGAAGUCACAGUAUACAGCUGUCAUUUCACAAUAAUUUACUGUAAAAAUGUUACAGUAACUUACUGUGAAAGUCAUGCAAUUAUUAACCUGCAAUUUAUUGUAAAUUUACAGUCAAAUAAUUA